rnacentral:rRNA from 1 species
CACGUAGGGUGCAAGCGUUAAUCGGAAUUACUGGGCGUAAAGCGUGCGCAGGCGGUUUUGUAAGUCUGUCGUGAAAUCCCCGGGCUUAACCUGGGAAUGGCGAUGGUGACUGCAAGGCUAGAGUUUGGCAGAGGGGGGUAGAAUUCCACGUGUAGCAGUGAAAUGCGUAGAUAUGUGGAGGAACACCGAUGGCGAAGGCAGCCCCCUGGGUCAAAACUGACGCUCAUGCACGAAAGCGUGGGGAGCAAACAGG